rnacentral:rRNA from 1 species
AUGGAUCAGCUCGUCGUGCUCCUCGCCCUUCUCUUGUGCGGCCUCCUCUCCGUACUCCGGCGCGGCCGUGCUCCUCCAGCCACGGUAGCCCGGCACAAGAUCAGCGACCCUGCCAUCGCCCACCGGGCGCUCGUCGAGAACGCCGACGCCUUCUCGAACCGCCCCCGCGCGCGCCUGCAUGUGGCCCUGGCCGGCCGGCGCGACGGCAAGCGGAUUGAGGACCUCAACUCCGUGGCGCACGGCCCGUACUGGCGCGCCCUCCGGUGCAACCUCACCGCCGAGACACUCCACCCGUCGCGCCUCGGCGGCCUCGUGCCGCUGCAGCGGGAGGCCGUCCAGGGCCUCGUCGCCGCCCUGUCGUCCGCCCCCCGGGGAAGCAGGGAGGAGGUGACGGAGGUGCACCAGCAUCUCUACGGCGCUGUGUUCUCGGUCGUCGCGCGCCUGUGCUUCGGCCACGCCGUCGACGAGGCCCACGUGCGCGCCAUGCGACGCGUCAUACAGAACUUCCAGCUUGCCAUUGGGCAGGUCAAGCCUUUCUCGGCUAAGGGCUCCGUAAUGGACAAGAUCGUGGAGUGGAGGCGGCUGCGCAGGCUGUUCGCCAUCAAUGUCGGCCUCAAGGAGCUGUUACUCCCUCACAUCGCGGCACGGCGGAUGGCGGUUCAGUCUCCCCGACCACACGACGAGGGCGGCCGUCGUCCAUAUGUUGACUCGCUCUUCGACCUCCGUGUCCCCAAUGAGGGCGCCGCCGGGCGGCGCGCUCUUAGGGACGACGAGAUGGUGAACCUAAUCACGGAGUUCCUCGGCGCCGGCACAGGGACGGUGGUUGCAUGCAUGGAAUGGGCCCUCGCCCACAUUGUCGACAAGCCGGGGGUACAGGAGAAGCUCCGUGGCGAGGUCGACGAUGGCGAGGUCUCCCGUGUAGUUGCAGGCAUGCCUUACCUGCAUGCCGUCGUGCUCGAGACCCUCCGCAUGCACCCGCCCUUGCCGGUCAUCCCGCGCCAUGUCCAUGCCGAUGCCGUCGGGGUGUUGGUCGGAGGAAUGUCCAUGCCACCGCCGGCCGGCGACUUUUACGUGAAUUUCUCCGUGGGGGACAUGGGCAGGGACAGCAAGAUAUGGUCGGAGCCCCACGAGUUCCGGCCGGAGCGGUUCCUGGCCGGUGGCGAUGGGGACGGCGUCGGCCCGUUGCCGGGGCCCAAGCAGAUCAGGAUGAUGCCAUUUGGCGCCGGGCAUAGGUUCUGCCCGGGUGUAGGCAUGGCGAUGGUGAACGUGAAGUGCUUCUUGGCCGCGCUCAUGCGUGAGUUUGAGUGGGCACUGCCGAUUGGCACCGGCGCUGUUGACCUCACGGAGAUGGAUUCCUUCUUCAAGGUGAUGAAGAAGCCGCUUUCCGCGCGUGUCACGCGACGCAGGAAAUCCAUCUAA